GGCCGAGGAGGCGCCAAGAGCGAGCGAGGGCUGCGACGACUGCCAGCAUGCUGUCACCUCUCACUAUGACUGUCUGGGAUCUGCUUUAUAAAUAAACAAGCUUCCUACAAUUAUCCUCAUCUCAUGGAAAAACUAGACAGAGGAAAAGAAAAGAGGCAAAUGGAGCUUCCUUUGCUAAGAGCUCAAAUAACUCUCCUCUACAUAGUCUUCUUCAAACAAAAACACAAAGCUAAUUUUCCAUUUACUCUUUGAGAGUUCCACAGAAAAACAAGUGAGCAAUGGAAUAUGUACAGAAGUAGCAUGAGAGCUGAUGCCUGAGUUGUCUUCUUUGCCUUUGACACUGCAACCAAUAACAUUCUAGAUUGUGGACAGCCCAUAAGUCUUAGGCCUAAAAGAAGAUGAAGUGAGCCAAACUGACCCAU
rnacentral:lncRNA from 1 species